ACUUGCAAGUUAUAUGACAAUUAGUCUAUUAAGUAAUGGGGACAAAGCCUGAAACAUGUGAGGGGAUGCAUUUUGUGAGGUCUAAUAAGGGACUACACAAUGAAUGGUAAGACCUCAGGAAGUACACAGGAGCAGAGAGAUAUUGGUAGGCAUGUCGAUAGAUCCUUGAGGACACCAGGGCAAAUAAGCAAGGUGGUUAAGAAGCUAUAUGGGAUACUUACCUUUCUGAGACUGGACAUUGAAUACAAUAGCAAGGAAGCUGGGGAACUGUAUAAGACAAUAGCUAGGCCACAGCUGGAAUGCUGUGUGCAGUAUUGAUCGUCACACAAUAGGGAGGAUGGGAUUGCACUGGAGAGUACAGAAGGAGAUUCACCAGGAUGUUGCCGAGGCUAAAGUCUUGCAACUUUGAAGCGAGACUCGAUAGUUUGGGGUUGUUUUCCUUUGAGCAGAAAAGGCAGCGAGAGAACCAGAUUGUGGUCUACAAAAUCAUGAGGGGUAUAGAUGGGGUUGAAAGGAAGAAACUUUUCCCUUGUGGGUGGGUGGUAUCAGUAAUGAGAAGAGAUUUAAAACAAGGGGCAGGAGAUUUGAAGGGUGGUGUGUAUCUGUGCUGGGAAUAAAACUUUAUGAUUCCAUCUCCCACUUUCUAAUUUCAAAGCCAAUCACUUUCUCCUGUUUCUUUCUCCACCUCACUCUGAACUCCAUUAACCCACAACAAAAACAACUGAACAACUGCAGCUGUUGGAAGUCAGAAAUUGUUAGCCAAUCCCCGCCCCGCUCCUUCAACUAAUGACCAAUCAAAUAAUCGGAACUCGGGGCCUUCCACGGAAAACGCCCGCCUCUACCUCCUAUUGGUGAGAGCGUAGUAAUUGGCGGAACAACGGGCCAAACAAAAAAGGCUCUGACGGAAGCCCCGCCUAUGGACUGUAGGCUAGUGCGCAGACCCGGAAGCGGGUGUCAGCUGUAGUGGGUGGGGGAUUUCCGGGUGGAUUGUGGAGACGGAGAGAAAUGAGAAUAAUGUCCUGUCGGAGAGUGUUUCCGGGAUGAUUAUAGUGAGGAAACGUCGUCAUACUGUAAUGGUAUUCUGAACACAGACUGGUCCGGGAAGGCCAACUGCAGUUUGGAAGGAAAAGUACCGACCGUCCCUUUUCAGGAGGGUGAAGGUCUCAAUGGGAUCAUGAUGAGAAGGAGCUGGGGUUGGACUGGGGUGCACAAAGCUAAAAAUCACGCGACACCAGUUUAUAGUCCAACGGGAUUUAUUUCCAAGUACAAGCUUUUGGAGCUCUGCCCCUUCAGGUAGCCUGCGAGCUCCAAAAGCUGGUACUUUCAGAUUAAUCUGUUGCACUGUGACCUGAUGUUGUGUGAUUUGUAACCAAUGAGAUCAGACAGUGUGUGACCCGGGGGAGGAUGGAGAUCCCAGUGAGGUCAGUCAGUGUGUGACCCCGGGGACGAUGGGGAUCCCAGUGAGAUCAGACUGUGUGGGGUCCCGGGAAGGAUGGGGAUCCCAGCGAGAUCAGACUGAGAGAGAUCUGGGGAGGUUGAAGGAGAUCACGGUGAAAUUGAGGCUGAGCUCAGCCAAUGCACGUGUGUAGUUCAUGCAGUCUGCUCUGUUCUUUGAUAAGGAGUUUAGUGGUUCACAUUCAACAGAUUUAUAUCUCAUUUCUCACUCCACUUUCUUGUCUCCUGAACCACUCUCCUGGUCUCUUCAUUGAAUGAGUGUUGGUCCCACAGCUGAGUGAGGGAUCUACCUUUCCAUGACAUUAUAGAUUACAAUUGAGUGCAGUUCCUCUCUGCUGGUGGGCUACAACAAGUCGCCUUGGUUCUCAGGUUUCACUUCCUGGAUCUGUUUUGAGUUCAACCUACUUAGUGUGGUUGUAGUGCCACACAGCACAAUGGAGGUGUCUCCAAAGUGAAGACAAAAUCCGGGAACACUUGUCACCAGCAUUGCUGAAGGAUCAAACAGGGAAGAAGGUCCAAAAUCUCCCAAAGUGUUCGAAUGGACCCAGGGGCAGUUCCAGAGGACUGGAGGAUAACUGAUGUGGUCCACUUUUCAAGAUGGGUGAUAAAGGUGAACCAA